rnacentral:rRNA from 1 species
AGCAGUCGCCACGGGAAUACGUAGGGUGCGAGCGUUAAUCGGAAUUACUGGGCGUAAAGCGUGCGCAGGCGGUUGUGUAAGACAGGUGUGAAAUCCCCGGGCUUAACCUGGGAACUGCGCUUGUGACUGCACAGCUAGAGUAUGGCAGAGGGGGGUGGAAUUCCACGUGUAGCAGUGAAAUGCGUAGAGAUGUGGAGGAACACCGAUGGCGAAGGCAGCCCCCUGGGCCAAUACUGACGCUCAUGCACGAAAGCGUGGGGAGCAAACAGGAUUAGAUACCCCCGUAGUCCCUGUCUCUUAUAC